rnacentral:sRNA from 1 species
AGAGUUUAUUGAGUAUCAGUUAAUAUAUUAUUACAAAAUGUCAUGAUAAGUGUAAUUUGUGAUUAGGGAGGAAGGGGGAUCCUAUUUGACCUAAAUGCUGUUUUUUAUAGUUUGAAUGGCAACAAUGAACAUGUUUUAAAGUAGUUGACUUUAUUUUGUAUGUCAAUAUAUUGUAAAUGUACAGCUGAAUCAUGUCUUAAAUCCUCUAAGACUUGAAUACUUACAAUGUUAUGACAGAUUACUUCAUGGGAUAGUGGUGUAAGGCUUAUAUGUAGGCCAUGUUGUUAAUCCUCUGAUGCAACUCUUUGUAUGGGGUUUAUGAUACAUUUUGUAAAAAUAUACCUAUAUGUACACUAAUGGUGGAUUAUAGCACAUUUCUCCAUCAUAAAAACUGAGUUAUAUUGAUCAGGUAGAUAGAAAAUUCAUGUUUAUGUAAAUAGUUUUAGAGGAAUAGUGUGACCAAGUUUAAAUGUACUGAUAUUUUUUUUCUUUGUAUUUAUGCUUACCAUCAAUACAUACUAGUACUUAUAUACAAAUGAUUUUUGGUGAGUUGUAGCAAGCUGAGAACUCAAUAAAUGUGAUAUUUCUU